CCAGAGAGCAUGCGGCUCCCCUCUCUGGAGGGCACAGACUUCUUCUUCUUCUUUUUUGCAAAUAAAAGAAAUGGGCCCUGUCCCUCCUCCAUAACCAAAACUGAGCUCCCAACUUCCUUCUAUUGACGCCUUCAAGAUAACUGGGGUUGCUCUAACCAAAGUUUGGCACAACAACUAAACUGGGUAAAUGACUGUUACUGCUAAACUCCAAACCAUGGUCUGCAAACCAAUUUCUAAUCAAGAACUAAAGGUGAGGAAAAGAGGGGGAGACAAGCAAGCACACUUGUAAUUUGCUUUGGCGUUCAAGCUGGAAGGCAAU